ACCAGGAUGACUGAGUGGUUAAGGUGUUGGACUUAAGCUCUAAUGGGCAAAUGCCCUCAUGGGUUCAAGUCCCACUCCUGGUA